CCUACGGGAGGCAGCAGUGGGGAAUAUUGGGCAAUGGGCGCAAGCCUGACCCAGCAACGCCGCGUGAAGGAAGAAGGCUUUCUGGUUGUAAACUUCUUUUGUCAGGGAAGAGUAGAAGACGGUACCUGACGAAUAAGCCACUGCUAACUACGUGCCAGCAGCCGCGGUAAUAAGUAGGUGGCAAGCGUUGUCCGGAUUUACUGGGUGUAAAGGGCGUGGAGCCGGUUUGACAAGUCAGAUGUGAAAUCCUCCGGCUUAACCGAAGAACUGCAGUUGAAACUGUUGAUCUUGAGUACGGGAGAGGCAGGCGGAAUGCGUAGUGUAGCGGUGAAAUGCGUAGAUAUUAGGAGGAACACCAGUGGCGAAGGCGGCCUGCUGGACUGUAACUGACGUUGAGGCUCGAAAGCGUGGGGAGCAAACAGGAUUAGAUACCCCAGUAGUC
rnacentral:rRNA from 1 species